AUUGAACGCUGGCGGCAGGCCUAACACAUGCAAGUCGAACGAGUGGCGGACGGGUGAGUAAUGUCUGGGAAACUGCCUGAUGGCGGGGGCUAACUACUGGAAACGGUAGCUAAUACCGCAUACCAUCAGAUGUGCCCAGAUUGGAUUAGCUAUCUGGUGGGGUAACGGCUAACCAGGGCGACGAUCCCUAGCUGGUCUGAGAGGAUGACCGGCCACACUGGGACUGAGACACGGUCCAGACUCCUACGGGAGGCAGCAGUGGGGAAUAUUGCGCAAUGGGCGCAAGCCUGAUGCAGCCAUGCCGCGUGUGUGAAGAAGGCCUUCGGGUUGUAAAGUACUUUCAGCGGGGAGGCGUUACCCGCAGAAGAAGCACCGGCUAACUCCGUGCCAGCAGCCGCGGUAAUAC
rnacentral:rRNA from 1 species